UGAGAACAGGCGGGAAAUUGCCUCGGUGGU
rnacentral:piRNA from 1 species